rnacentral:rRNA from 1 species
GAUGAACGCUGGCGGCGUGCCUAAUACAUGCAAGUCGAGCGAACAGACGAGGAGCUUGCUUCUCUGACGUUAGCGGCGGACGGGUGAGUAACACGUGGAUAACCUACCUAUAAGACUGGGAUAACUUCGGGAAACCGGAGCUAAUACCGGAUAAUAUAUUUAACCGCAUGGUUCAAUAGUGAAAGACGGUUUUGCUGUCACUUAUAGAUGGAUCCGCGCCGCAUUAGCUAGUUGGUAAGGUAACGGCUUACCAAGGCAACGAUGCGUAGCCGACCUGAGAGGGUGAUCGGCCACACUGGAACUGAGACACGGUCCAGACUCCUACGGGAGGCAGAAGUAGGGAAUAUUCCGCAAUGGGCGAAAGCCUGACGGAGCAACGCCGCGUGAGUGAUGAAGGUCUUCGGAUCGUAAAACUCUGUUAUUAGGGAAGAACAAAUGUGUAAGUAACUAUGCACGUCUUGACGGUACCUAAUCAGAAAGCCACGGCUAACUACGUG